UACAGAGGGUGCGAGCGUUAAUCGGAGUUACUGGGCGUAAAGGGCGCGUAGGCGGUUUAGUGAGUGUGAUGUGAAAGCCCCGGGCUUAACCUGGGAAGUGCAUCGCAUACUGCUAAACUAGAGUAGAUGAGAGGGUGAUGGAAUUUCCGGUGUAGCGGUGAAAUGCGUAGAGAUCGGAAGGAACGUCGAUGGCGAAGGCAGUCACCUGGCAUCAUACUGACGCUGAGGCGCGAAAGCGUGGGGAGCAAACAGG
rnacentral:rRNA from 1 species